rnacentral:rRNA from 1 species
GACGAACGCUGGCGGCGUGCUUAACACAUGCAAGUCGAACGGAGUGGCGAACGGGUGAGUAAUACGUGGGGAACCUGCCCUCCUUUUAGGGAUAGGCCUUGGAAACGAGGACUAAUACCGAAUAAGGGGGGAGUGGCGCGGGGCCUUUCAGCUUGUUGGUGGGGUGCUGGCGUACCAAGGCGUUGACGGUGAGCAGGCCUGAGAGGGCGAACGGCCACAUGGGGACGGAGAUACGGCCCAGGCUAGUACGGGAUGCAGAAGUGGGGGAUAUUGCACAAUGGGCGAUAGACUGAUGCCGCGACUCUGCGUGGGGGAUGAAGGUUUUCGGGUUGUAAACCUCGUUAGGUAGCGAACGGGUACGUGGAGAAGAAGCGCCGGCUAACUCCGUGCCAGCAGCCGCGGUAAUUC